AUCCAGGGAUGGGAAUCGAACCCACAGUGUUCCGCUUACCGGGCAGAUGCCAUGUCCACUAGGCUACCCUGGC